rnacentral:rRNA from 1 species
GACGAACGCUGGCGGCGUGCUUAACACAUGCAAGUCGAACGGAAAGGCCCUGCUUUUGUGGGGUGCUCGAGUGGCGAACGGGUGAGUAACACGUGAGUAACCUGCCCUUGACUUUGGGAUAACUUCAGGAAACUGGGGCUAAUACCGGAUAGGAGCUCCUGCUGCAUGGUGGGGGUUGGAAAGUUUCGGCGGUUGGGGAUGGACUCGCGGCUUAUCAGCUUGUUGGUGGGGUAGUGGCUUACCAAGGCUUUGACGGGUAGCCGGCCUGAGAGGGUGACCGGCCACAUUGGGACUGAGAUACGGCCCAGACUCCUACGGGAGGCAGCAGUGGGGAAUAUUGCACAAUGGGCGGAAGCCGGAUGCAGCAACGCCGCGUGCGGGAUGACGGCCUUCGGGUUGUAAACCGCUUUCGCCUGUGACGAAGCGUGAGUGACGGUAUGGGUAAAGAAGCACCGGCUAACUACGUG